rnacentral:rRNA from 1 species
AACGAACGCUGGCGGCAUGCCUAACACAUGCAAGUCGAACGAGACCUUCGGUCUAGUGGCGCACGGGUGCGUAACGCGUGGGAAUCUGCCCUUGGGUUCGGGAAUAACAGCGAGAAAUUGCUGCUAAUACCGGAUGAUGACGUAAGUCCAAAGAUUAUCGCCAAGGAUGAGCCCGCGUAGGAUUAGCUAGUUGGUGAGGUAAAGGCUCACCAAGGCGACGAUCCUUAGCUGGUCUGAGAGGAUGAUCAGCCACACUGGGACUGAGACACGGCCCAGA